CCUACGGGAGGCAGCAGUGGGGAAUUUUGCGCAAUGACCGAAAGGUUGACGCAGCAACGCCGCGUGUAUGAUGAAGGCUUUCGGGUCGUAAAGUACUUUCAGUGGGGAAGAACUGCAUAAUCAGUAACUGGGUUAUGAUUGACGGUACCCACAGAAGCAGCCCCGGCUAACUCCGUGCCAGCAGCCGCGGUAAUACGGAGGGGGCAAGCGUUGUUCGGAGUCACUGGGCGUAAAGAGCUCGUAGGCGGCAGUGUAAGUCGGGAGUUAAAGGCAACAGCUCAACUGUUGUAAGGCUUCUGAAACUACAUUGCUAGAGUGCCAGAGAGGUAUGCGGAAUUCCCUGUGUAGCGGUGAAUGCGUAGAUAUAGGGAGGAACACCGGUUGCGAAGGCGGCAUACUGGCUGGUAACUGACGCUGUGGAGCGAAAGCGUGGGUAGCAAACA
rnacentral:rRNA from 1 species